rnacentral:rRNA from 1 species
GGGAUAAGUAGCUUGCUAUUUAUUCUAGUGGCGCACGGGUGAGUAGCGCGUAGAUAAUCUGCCUUAGACUCUGGGAUAACAUCUCGAAAGGGGUGCUAAUACCGGAUAAGCCCACGAGGGCGUGAGUUUUCGCGGGAAAAGGGGGCCUCUAUUUAUAUGCUCCUGGUUUAAGAUGAGUCUGCGUACCAUUAGCUUGUUGGUGGGGUAAUGGCCUACCAAGGCGACGAUGGUUAGCUGGUCUGAGAGGAUGAUCAGCCACACUGGGACUGAGACACGGCCCAGACUCCUACGGGAGGCAGCAGUGGGGAAUUUUGCGCAAUGGGGGCAACCCUGACGCAGCAACGCCGCGUGAGUGAUGAAGGCUUUCGGGUCGUAAAGCUCUGUCUAGAGGGAAGAAAUGCAGUGUGGUUAAUACCCAUGCUGCUUGACGGUACCUCUGAAGGAAGCACCGGCUAACUCCGUGCCAGCAGCCGCGGUAAUACGGAGGGUGCAAGCGUUGUUCGGAAUUAUUGGGCGUAAAGCGCGUGCAGGCGGUUUGUUAAGUCUGAUGUGAAAGCCCCGGGCUCAACCCGGGAAGUGCAUUGGAAACUAGCAGACUUGAAUACGGGAGAGGGUAGUGGAAUUCCGAGUGUAGGAGUGAAAUCCGUAGAUAUUCGGAGGAACACCGGUGGCGAAGGCGGCUGCCUGGACCGAUAUUGACGCUGAGACGCGAAAGCGUGGGUAGCAAACAGGAUUAGAU